rnacentral:rRNA from 3 species
GGUAACGGCUCACCUAGGCGACGAUCCCUAGCUGGUCUGAGAGGAUGACCAGCCACACUGGAACUGAGACACGGUCCAGACUCCUACGGGAGGCAGCAGUGGGGAAUAUUGCACAAUGGGCGCAAGCCUGAUGCAGCCAUGCCGCGUGUAUGAAGAAGGCCUUCGGGUUGUAAAGUACUUUCAGCGGGGAGGAAGGGAGUAAAGUUAAUACCUUUGCUCAUUGACGUUACCCGCAGAAGAAGCACCGGCUAACUCCGUGCCAGCAGCCGCGGUAAUACGGAGGGUGCAAGCGUUAAUCGGAAUUACUGGGCGUAAAGCGCACGCAGGCGGUUUGUUAAGUCAGAUGUGAAAUCCCCGGGCUCAACCUGGGAACUGCAUCUGAUACUGGCAAGCUUGAGUCUCGUAGAGGGGGGUAGAAUUCCAGGUGUAGCGGUGAAAUGCGUAGAGAUCUGGNAGGAAUACCGGUGGCGAAGGCGGCCCCCUGGACGAAGACUGACGCUCAGGUGCGAAAGCGUGGGGAGCAAACAGGAUUAGAUACCCUGGUAGUCCACGCCGUAAACGAUGUUGACUUGGAGGUUGUGCCCUUGAGGCGUGGCUUCCGGAGCUAACGCGUUAAGUCGACCGNCCUGGGGAGUACGGCCGCNANAGGUUAAAACUCAAAUGAAUUGACGGGGGCCCGCACAAGCGGUGGAGCAUGUGGUUUAAUUCGAUGCAACGCGAAGAACCUUACCUGGUCUUGACAUCCACAGAACUUUCCAGAGAUGGAUUGGUGCCUUCGGGAACUGUGAGACAGGUGCUGCAUGGCUGUCGUCAGCUCGUGUUGUGAAAUGUUGGGUUAAGUCCCGCAACGAGCGCAACCCUUAUCUUUUGUUGCCAGCGGUCCGGCCGGGAACUCAAAGGGGACUGCCAGUGAUAAACUGGAGGAAGGUGGGGAUGACGUCAAGUCAUCGUGGCCCUUACGACCAGGGCUACACACGUGCUACAAUGGCGCAUACAAAGAGAAGCGACCUCGCGAGAGCAAGCGGACCUCAUAAAGUGCGUCGUAGUCCGGAUUGGAGUCUGCAACUCGACUCCAUGAAGUCGGAAUCGCUAGUAAUCGUGGAUCAGAUGCCACGGUGAAUACGUUCCCGGGCCUUGUACACACCGCCCGUCACAAAUCGAAUUCCCGCGUCGCCAUGC